rnacentral:rRNA from 1 species
CACGUAGGGCGCGAGCGUUGUCCGGAAUUAUUGGGCGUAAAGAGCUCGUAGGCGGCCUGUUGCGUCCGCUGUGAAAGCCCGGGGCUUAACCCCGGGUCGGCAGUGGAUACGGGCAGGCUAGAGGUAGGUAGGGGAGAAUGGAAUUCCCGGUGUAGCGGUGAAAUGCGCAGAUAUCGGGAGGAACACCUGUGGUGUAGACAGCUUACUGGACCAUUUCUGACGCUGAGACACGAAAGCGUGGGUAGCAAACAGG